UAAAGCAGCCUAUCCAUGUGGAGAUGGAAUGGGAGGAGGGGCUUACACUGUGAUGUGUCUCCCCACACAGAGUCUUCUGAAUGACGGAUUUCCUAUUUAACCUCUUGGGCGGAUGGGGGGUUGGCGUAGGUCGCGCUAGCUAGCGUAGCGGCGGGCUAAUUAAGUGGGGAAAGAAGAUGAAGCGGCGUUGGGUGGUGAAAAUGCUGAUGGUGGAGAGAUGUGAGGAACGAGGCAGGGUCGACUAGCCGACAGCUCCAAUCACCUCCACAGGUCACAGUGUUCUGCGUGUUGACAGGCAUCAUGGAUCACUCGGCAAGAAAACAGCUCACGUCAACAACCACUAGCGGUCAACAACCAACAAACAACGACCAGACAAAACAACAAAGCAAACGGCCAGGCAUACAGACGAUCAGUUGCCCCCGGUAACAGAUCGACCUCCAUGCUCCAGGAGGCAGGAAGAGGAAAAGCUGACUAAACCUGCACCUCAUCCUGUAUUAAUAGAUUACCCAUAAUAUGCUGCUGUGAGAGAGUUGGUUUCCCAGGCAACAUCAAGGACUACUGAAAUGGUUGUAUGGUCAUUAACUGCAUGGCUGUGAUUAAAACCUUUUUAUUGUGGCAGGCUUGACAGAAAGAGCCGUGACAGACAGACAGAAUGUAGCUAACCACUGCAAACACCACUGCAACAUGGCAAACAACACGCUGUGGUGACAGCAGGGAUCCACCAACAUUGACCCAGCUACAUCCAGCUGUUAAUACAGCAUGGAUACAACAAGAUUUAAAAGAUCCAACACCAUAAAGAAGAUGGAUGGAAAGACAUUGUUAAAAAUAUGCCUUUGUUUUCUCUCUACUUUUUCAUGUCAAUAUUCAAGAUCAUAAAAUAUAACAACUUAAAAUUCCCAGGGUGUAAUGCAAUGAGUUUGGUUUCUUGAUUAUAUUUUGACAAAUAUAUUUCUUCAAUUUCUCCACAAAUCCCCUCAAGCAAAAAGACUUGAAUUCUUAAUACUCUAUUUCUGGAAGGUCACACAGCAGUCCAGGCACUCCAAUCUAACACUCUUCCUGGUUCAUGUUGAAGGUCACUGUCUAAAUGACCAGUCUGGAUUGGACUGAAUCGAGGUGUAUAUGUGAGAGGUGUGUGUGUUAGGGUGUUAGGGUGUGUGAUCAGUGACAGUAGACAUGCAGUGUGUCAGAUGUCACUCGUUGGCCCCUUGUCUCCUGCUAUAACCUAAAGGCCUGGGACUGUGAGGCUGAAUAAGUGACUUCUUCUCUAUUAGCUUUCACUGAGUAGAACCCGUCCAGCCACUGCCUUUCAUUGAAGGUCAAAUGUGAGAGGUCUAUGAAAAAGGUUGCCUUCACACUUGUGGUCAGUCUCGAGUGAGAUCCAAGUGACCUCUAGAAGUGACCUCUGUUCACUGAUGGGUUCAGCUCCACAUGUGAAGUCACAUGCAUAAAGCAGAGCAUGUGUGCCAUUAGGAUCAUUAAGAUCUGACAGUUACCCCAUGGUUCUUGACACCUGACCCUGACCUUUGUGGCCUAUGUUGAGUGCAUCAAAAAUAAAAUGUAUUUAUCCAA